CGUCAAAUCAUCAUGCCCCUUAUGACCUGGGCUACACACGUGCUACAAUGGAUAGAACAAAGGGCAGCAAAACCGCGAGGUCAAGCAAAUCCCAUAAAUCUAUUCUCAGUUCGGAUUGCAGGCUGCAACUCGCCUGCAUGAAGCCGGAAUCGCUAGUAAUCGCGGAUCAGCAUGCCGCGGUGAAUACGUUCCCGGGCCUU
rnacentral:rRNA from 1 species